rnacentral:miRNA from 1 species
UGUUGGGAAAGAAAAACUCUU